rnacentral:lncRNA from 12 species
CUCGUAGGGCCGACCUGUGGCCCAAAGGCCCUCUGGCCACCCACGUGGGCCGGGCUGCCACUUCCCGGUCUGGUGGGGCUGAAAGGAUGUCAUUUCCACCAGUCUCUACUUUGCAACCCAGGGUCGUCCUUUGAUUAGUGACCAGAGCUGAGGAAACUGAGGCCGAAGGAGGGGCCCAGCUAGGCCCAGUGAAGCUUUUUUCCGGGAGGCGCCAGGUUCCCCCGUGGAGCCCGAAGAGCUGCGUGGAAAUGAGGGCCCUUCUCCUCACUCUCCAUGGACAAGAUACUUGCACUGGAUUCCACUGUCAAGCCUCUCUGACUUUGCAAGGAUGAGGGACAAAUAGUUGGAAGGAGGAGUGAGGUAGUGCUUCCCCCGCCCCCUGCUUGGGCUCCAGCUACCCCCUCCUUCCCCAUCAAAGGAUCAAAGGGAGGGAUGAGUUAUCACCUCAGCAGGGUGUGGUGGCCCUGGCUUCCUGGUAGGAGCCGAUUUCUUAACUGAU